rnacentral:lncRNA from 1 species
GUACGAAAAAAGAGGUGCAGAGAAAAACACAAUGUGAGAUAUAAUUAGAAGUGCCUGUGCAAAAUGUCAGCUCAGCUUCCCCUCCUCCAGCUAGUGCUUCCAAAAAUGUGAUUCCUGGAGCCUUUGAGUUUAUUUCUGGUUGAUCUGAAUGCAUUUUAUGAGCCAUUUCCCAAAAUAUCCAUUGGAUCUCCUUUGGCCAUCGUAAUCAGCUCAUAAAUUGAGCUCAUCAGCUGUAGGGCUGGAAGAUGGUGCUUCUCAGCCACGAGGGCCAUCAUGUGGGAUUCCUCUCUUCUAGCCACUGAAACCACAGCUGAGACGCUGGCUGGGACAACUCAGCUGCAACCAAAACCAUCCCGGUAGAAGGCUGAAGGUCUGGCUCUGUCACCCAGGCUGGAGUGCGGUGGCGUGAUCACAGCUUACUGCAGCCUCGACCUCCUGGGCUCAAGCAAUCCUCCCACCUCAGCCUCUCGAGUAGCUGAGGGACUACAGCAUCUAUUUUGGCAUGAGACUCCCCCUCAGCAGAUUCCUGAAUAGCAGCUGCUCUUGAUGAUUGCAAGGGGCCCCGCGGCCUGGUGGGACCAAGGCUUCUGCCGUCUGCUCUCCUCCAAACCUGCCUGUGCUCAGUGUGGACUCUGCAAACCUGGAGGCCCAGUGCAGGGGUGGGCUGGGCCUGGAGUUGUCUCUUCUGGUUCCAGCGUCAUCCUGAAACUUCUCUAGCUGCUGCCCCAGGUGUCGUGGUGCCCAUGUCACCUGUGUCCCACAUGGAAAUCUCAGGUCUAAUUAUCUACAGUGACUUAGAUGGCCAAUUAGUUGAUGAAAUGAAUUUGCAUCCAGAGCUCAGCGCUCCAUCUCUGUAGUCUCGGCUGCCAGGAAUGGUUCGGGCAAGAGCAUCAUGGAAACCACGUCCUCCAUCCUGAUUCACGCACAGUGAUGAUCUUAUGUGUCACUCCUGGCCAGGGCGGUGACAGCGAGGAUGCUGCUCAGACAUGGUGCCCUUCCCUAGACGCCAGCAGCCUUCAGGGAGGUGCCUGUCUUCCUGAGAUGGUUGGCUCCAAAGGGCUGCAGGGAAGAACCAGGAUGGCCGUGGCACAGGGGACCUUCACAUUGAAAUGUGGAUGUAUAGUCCUUGUUUUGCCAGAACAGACAAGAAAAUAGUGCAAGGCUGGUCAGAGUUGACUUCACUGCCUUGUGGACAAAGGAAAUCAUGCAACACGGACUCAACUCAAAAAGCCUCGGAGAAUUCUAGAAUCCUUUGACAGAAUGGAAACCUCAACUAGCAAAGUGAGCUAAUGGAAGCACUGAUUCUAUUGCUAACAGAUAAUUUUAAACCAGUGAUUUUCAGCUCAUUGGCCUCAAAAUCAAAUACUGACACCAAAUAACAGAGACGAUUUCACAAUUCUGAUUUCUUAUUCAAGAACAAUAGCAGCAGUCUUCUCGUUGAAAGCAGGAUAGGUGCCUAGUACUGCCUCCUUAAGAGAUGGAGGUGGGGAGGGGCAUAGGUUUUUGUUUGGCUUUGCUUCGUUAUCAUUGUGUGUGUGUAUGUUUGUGUGUGUGUGUGUGUGUGUGUGUGUGUGUGUGUGUGUGUGUUUUAAAAGAAGCUUAUUUCUAACCAAGCAAGCACACAGGUGGACUCUAGAAAGCCCACAACAUAGUCUUUCACUUUAUGCCCUACCUACUUUUACCCAACUUAUACACCACCCACAGUUGGGUGGGGUUUUCCUAACACAUCUUGCCCCUAUUACCCAAUGGGCAAUAGGUCUUUGAUGGGCAAUAGAUCUGAAUCUUUGAUGCAGGCUUUCUGGAGAGCCAUCUUAGACUAAAGAAGUAAAGAUAGUCUUUUCAUUGGACCAUCCCUCCUCCUGUCAUAUCUUCCACACAGAGCUCUAUAUCCUCAUCUUAGCACACUUCCUCCUAAAGGUUGUUCUGUCCCUUCCUUUUCCUUGAGGUAACGACAAAUCACAACCUGCUAAAGUUAUUAAAACUACAGGAUCUCCUUUGAGAGCUGAUGACAGCUUGUCCUGCCAAGCAUCAGUUAAAUGCUUAAGCAACAUCUCUGUAAAGUAGCUUGCAAUUCUUUUGGGAGCAUUUUGGAUACAGAGAGUGUGGACAACUUAGCCCUGAUAUUUUUUGGGAAGUGGACAACUUGCAGAAUAAGGUGCCUAAAAUUUGACCUGGAUUCUUUCUUCCAUUUGCAUCCAUCCAUAUGAAUUUCCUAGGAAGGUAGGACUUAAAGGUGAUUCAUCAUUCUAAUUACCAUGUGGCCCCAGUGGGUUAUGAACCACUAAACUAAAGUCUUUAUAAAGCACAUGUUCUUCUCUAUCUUUCUACUCAGGGACAAUGCAUCUUGGGAUUCACUUUGACAAAGCAGAGUGAACAUGUCCAGGACUCCAGAACACUUAAUUGAUUUUUGAGUGUCAAACCAACCUUGCAUACCUGAGAUACGUCACACUUGGUCAUGGUGUAUCAUCCUUUUUAUACAUUGCUAGGUUUGGUUUGCUAGCAUUUUGUUGAAGGAUUUUACAUUUAUAUUAAUAAGAAACAUUGGUCUGUAGUUUUCUCUUCUUGUGAUAUCUUUGUAUGGUUUUGGUACCAGAUUGAGGUGGGAUCUACUUCCAGCCUUGCUCCCCAAAACUGAUUUUAAAUUCAGUAUCUAAAAUACAUUCUAAAUGUAAAUCAAGUCGAUCAUGUUCUGACCCUACCUCCAAUGGCUUCCCAUUGCAUGCACCAUGCAGAGCACUCACCAAGGUCUCCAGUGCCUACCUCUUGACCUUCACGUCUUGAUAUCUCUCUCUUGCUCCUUUGACUGUAGCACACUGGUCUUUUUGAGGUUCUGUCAAUCUGUCAUGCUACUUUUCUCCUUAGGGCCUCUAUGCUUCCAGUUUCCCUUGUCUGGAAUGCCAUGAAUGGCCCCUUCUGAUCAUGCAGGCCUGUAGGCAAACAUCAGUUACUUAAAGGCCUUCUGCAAAGACCGCACCUAAAAUAACCUCUAUUCCAUGGUCACUCUUUGCCCAUUACCCUGCUUAAUUUGUUUCAGCACUUAUAUUCUGAUAUCACAUUAUUUGUUCACUUAUGUAUGGCUUGCCUCCCCGACUACAAUGUAAAUUCCAUGAAAGUGUGGAUUUUGUCCUAUUCCGUAAUGGAUCACCAGUACCUAAGACUGUGAGGGAUGCUUGGUAAAUGCUCAUAAAUGUUUCUUGAAUGAAUGAAGUGCACAAAGAUUUCUGUACAAGGAUAUUCAUCAAAGCAUUAUUUAUAAUAGUAACAUAUUUACAACUACAUAAAUGUCCAACAGUAGAGGAAUUGCCAAAUAAGUUCAAAUAUCCAUAGAAUGGAACAAGAUGUAGUCAUUUAAAAUAAUGUUUUACAUUUUCUAAUGACAUGAAAAAUUUGUAUAAUAUAAUAUUGUGUGAAAAAUAUGUUACAUCUCUACAUAAUUUGAGCCUAAUUAUGUUUUAUAAUUAUGUGUAUAAAAUAAAAGACGAGCAUCAAAAUCUUAACAGUGACGGUCUUGGGUAGAGAGUUA